UACGUAGGGCGCAAGCGUUGUCCGGAAUUAUUGGGCGUAAAGAGCUCGUAGGCGGCCUGUCGCGUCUGCUGUGAAAUCCCGGGGCUUAACCCCGGGCGUGCAGUGGAUACGGGCUGGCUGGAGGCAGGCAGGGGAGAACGGAAUUCCCGGUGUAGCGGUGAAAUGCGCAGAUAUCGGGAGGAACACCGGUGGCGAAGGCGGUUCUCUGGGCCUGUACUGACGCUGAGGCGCGAAAGCUAGGGGAGCAAACAGG
rnacentral:rRNA from 1 species